rnacentral:lncRNA from 1 species
CGAGCCCGGGAGAAGGACGGGAGGAAGGGGAAAGGGGAAGGGGAAGGAAAGAGAGAGAAAGAAAGAAGGUAGCGGCAGCGCGCACACUCUCACACCCCCGCUGGAAAAGAUUGUCUCCUCUUUAGAUGUGAGCUUUCGGUGAAUACGACGAGACUGCUUGUUUUCCCCCGCAAUGAUCACUGCGUUUCUCAAGCAGUUUGCACCUACUUACGGACCUCGCAUCUUCAGCCUUGGAUCUUAAAGGAACUGAUAACUCCUCUUCCAGAAAACUGUUCGGUAACAGGUUUCCUGCCCCGGGCUUUACAAGGAUCGCUCUUGUCUCAGAGCCACCGUGUACGUACGAUUCUUUUUUUUCACGGAUUUUGGUGGGGGUUUUUUUUGUUUUUUUUUUUUGUUUUUUUUUUUGUUUUUUGUUUUUUGUUUUUUGUUUUUUUUUUUUGCGGGGGGUGGGGGAGGGCGUUAUAUAUUUUUCUGUUACCUUUUCUGCCUGUGAAGUAAUCAGGGAGAACGGCGGGAGGCUCCAUAAAUAUGCAAAUUGGCGCCAGAUAACUGGUUUCGCUGGUUCCGCCUUGGGACUCCCGCCGGGCGGCUCCGCGGGGGAGAUUGUCGCCCCCGGCCCCACGACCCGCCCCCUCUCCCCCCUCCCCGCGCCGGGCACCGCUCUCCGAGCGCGGUCCUUCCCCUCUCCCCGCCGCUGCCGCAGCUCUUCGACGCGUGCCCGCGCCUUCCAGCUCCCUGGCAGCGUCCCGAAGGAGCACCGCGUCUCGUGGCUGCUGGGUGUCACGGGGCAAAAAGUGCGGUAGGCUGAACCGUGCUCGGGCCCUUAUCCUUUCUAACUCGGCAUCCGAAGGAUUAAAAGCAGUAACUGGCUUCCGAAUUGUAAAAUGUUAAAAUGAAAGUUUGAUUCGUGGUUAAACACUCGCGGGAGCGCAUCCUUUGUGGAUUCUGAUUUGACUCUGCUGUUAAACCGACAUCGGUACUGCGCUGACGCUUUAAUUAAUAAAAGUGGUUAGAGUCCUCUCUGUCAUCUCGUUGCUUACCAGCCUCCACACAAACCGUUUCAAGAUUCUGUCUAAAUAGGAGAAUGAGAAGGGAAACAUAAGCCGCCAAAGUUACUUUGAAGGCAGAGAAGCCAGGCGGCUGACACUGAGAGGCAGGGUUUGGUCUGCAGCUCUCCGCAAUCGUCGCAGCUCCCCGCCGCGGAAGCCCGCCCGGCAGCCCGUGCUGCGACGGCACUGCGCUCGCGGAGCGCAGAGGGUGGGAGGGGAGAGGCGCUGCCACUGCCCCCGAGAUUCCCUGUGCCUGUGGAGCCGGGCCUCGCUGGGAAGGAGACGGGGGCGGC